AGAGUUUGAUCAUGGCUCAGAUUGAACGCUGGCGGCAGGCCUAACACAUGCAAGUCGAGCGGUAGCACAGAGAGCUUGCUCUCGGGUGACGAGCGGCGGACGGGUGAGUAAUGUCUGGGAAACUGCCUGAUGGAGGGGGAUAACUACUGGAAACGGUAGCUAAUACCGCAUAAUGUCGCAAGACCAAAGUGGGGGACCUUCGGGCCUCAUGCCAUCAGAUGUGCCCAGAUGGGAUUAGCUAGUAGGUGGGGUAACGGCUCACCUAGGCGACGAUCCCUAGCUGGUCUGAGAGGAUGACCAGCCACACUGGAACUGAGACACGGUCCAGACUCCUACGGGAGGCAGCAGUGGGGAAUAUUGCACAAUGGGCGCAAGCCUGAUGCAGCCAUGCCGCGUGUGUGAAGAAGGCCUUCGGGUUGUAAAGCACUUUCAGCGGGGAGGAAGGCGGUAAGGUUAAUAACCUUGUCGAUUGACGUUACCCGCAGAAGAAGCACCGGCUAACUCCGUGCCAGCAGCCGCGGUAAUACGGAGGGUGCAAGCGUUAAUCGGAAUUACUGGGCGUAAAGCGCACGCAGGCGGUCUGUCAAGUCGGAUGUGAAAUCCCCGGGCUUAACCUGGGAACUGCAUUCGAAACUGGCAGGCUAGAGUCUUGUAGAGGGGGGUAGAAUUCCAGGUGUAGCGGUGAAAUGCGUAGAGAUCUGGAGGAAUACCGGUGGCGAAGGCGGCCCCCUGGACAAAGACUGACGCUCAGGUGCGAAAGCGUGGGGAGCAAACAGGAUUAGAUACCCUGGUAGUCCACGCCGUAAACGAUGUCGAUUUGGAGGUUGUGCCCUUGAGGCGUGGCUUCCGGAGCUAACGCGUUAAAUCGACCGCCUGGGGAGUACGGCCGCAAGGUUAAAACUCAAAUGAAUUGACGGGGGCCCGCACAAGCGGUGGAGCAUGUGGUUUAAUUCGAUGCAACGCGAAGAACCUUACCUGGUCUUGACAUCCACAGAACUUUCCAGAGAUGGAUUGGUGCCUUCGGGAACUGUGAGACAGGUGCUGCAUGGCUGUCGUCAGCUCGUGUUGUGAAAUGUUGGGUUAAGUCCCGCAACGAGCGCAACCCUUAUCCUUUGUUGCCAGCGGUCCGGCCGGGAACUCAAAGGAGACUGCCAGUGAUAAACUGGAGGAAGGUGGGGAUGACGUCAAGUCAUCAUGGCCCUUACGACCAGGGCUACACACGUGCUACAAUGGCAUAUACAAAGAGAAGCGACCUCGCGAGAGCAAGCGGACCUCAUAAAGUAUGUCGUAGUCCGGAUUGGAGUCUGCAACUCGACUCCAUGAAGUCGGAAUCGCUAGUAAUCGUAGAUCAGAAUGCUACGGUGAAUACGUUCCCGGGCCUUGUACACACCGCCCGUCACACCAUGGGAGUGGGUUGCAAAAGAAGUAGGUAGCUUAACCUUCGGGAGGGCGCUUACCACUUUGUGAUUCAUGACUGGGGUGAAGUCGUAACAAGGUAACCGUAGGGGAACCUGCGGUUG
rnacentral:rRNA from 1 species